UACGGAGGAUGCAAGCGUUAUCCGGAAUCAUUGGGCGUAAAGCGUCCGUAGGUGGCUUUUCAAGUCUGCGGUCAAAGCACAAGGCUUAACCUUGUAAAGGCCGUGGAAACUGAAAUGGCUAGAGUGCGGUAGGGGUAGAGGGAAUUCCCAGUGUAGCGGUGAAAUGCGUAGAGAUUGGGAAGAACACCGGUGGCGAAGGCGGCGGACUGGACAGUCACUGACACUCAACUACGAAAGCGUGGGUAGCAAACAGG
rnacentral:rRNA from 1 species